GCAGCCCGCCGCUCUCGGUCACCUUGGCCGUCACCGAGGGGCCUCGCUUGCGGAAGCCCUCGGCCCCCGAAGAAAACACAAGUGCGCCGAGCCCCACGCAAAGCACGAGAGGUAGCAGCAGCCGAGGACCCGGGCCCAUGGCUGGAAUGCUACAACUACAUUCUCCAAGACUACCUUGUAGCUAGUUUCUGCAUGUGACCUAGCUAUCACCAAGAAGACAUAUUGCUUGAGACUAGGAGGCAGAGAUGCUAAAUGUGAAUGAUAGCUCUGCAGAGAGAGAGAUCAGAUCUUGCAAGUGCAGAGAACAAGACACCUGGAUUUCCUGGGACAGCUGCUCUGGGGAUUUUGGAUUCCAAAGGCCAGUUCUCUUGUCUUUCCAGAAAUUCUUACAAGGUACCUACUACUGUUUAAUGAAUUAUUCUCUGCUUCAACUAGAUAACAUGGAUUCGGCUGUCUACAGUCAAAAAUCCUGACAAAUACAGGAUGAUACUGCACCCCCAACCAUAGGAGUGGUCCCUACAAAUGAAGCACAUUGGAAUACAGUAGCACCCUGACUUCCAUAUGAGUAAUCUCAAGGUUUCCCUUUGAUUCCAAUUUCACCUGUAGGCUCCAAUGUAACAGUGGAAAAGCAGAGGUCAUGAUGGAGAGAAUAGGAGUGAGCCCAUAAAACCUGGUUUGGCUGGGUGCGGUGGCUCACACCUGUAAUCCCAGCACUUUGUGAGGCCGAGGCAGGCAGACCACGAGGUCAGGAGAUCAAGACCAUCCUGGCUAACAUGGUGAAACCCUGUCUCUAUUAAAAAUACAAAAAAAUCAGCCGGGCAUGGUGGCAAGUCCCUGUAAUCCCAGCUACCUGGGAAGCUGUGGCAGGACAAUCACUUGAACCCAGGAGGUGGAGGUUGCAGUGAGCUGAGAUCAUGCCACUGCACUCCAGCCUGGCAACAGAACAAGACUCCAUCGCAAAAACAAACAAACAAACAAAAAACCUGGUUCAAUGAUCAAAUAUUGAGUCAGGGAUAGGCUAAGCCAGCAACAAAAUCAACCCACAGGGACUUCAGGCCUCAGCAGAAUGAACAAGGGAAUCUACAUUUGGAGAUCAAGAUCAAGUUGGUUUGAGAAGAAAAGCCAGGACACCAGGUCUAAAUUGAGUUCCAUGAACAGUAUUUGGCCAAGUCAGAAACCCUUUGUGAAGACCCCUAGCCCCAACCACCCACAGGUGUACAUGUUCUCAUAUAUAUAGGACAUGAG
rnacentral:lncRNA from 1 species